rnacentral:rRNA from 1 species
GACGAACGCUGGCGGCGUGCUUAACACAUGCAAGUCGAGCGGUAAGGCCCUUUCGGGGGGUACACGAGCGGCGAACGGGUGAGUAACACGUGGGUGACCUGCCCUCAGCUCUGGGAUAAGCCUGGGAAACCGGGUCUAAUACUGGAUAUGACUCCAUGACGCAUGUUGUGGGGUGGAAAGCCUUGUGCGGCUGAGGAUGGGCCCGCGGCCUAUCAGCUUGUUGGUGGGGGUGAUGGCCUACCAAGGCGACGACGGGUAGCCGGCCUGAGAGGGCGACCGGCCACACUGGGGCUGAGACACGGCCCAGACUCCUACGGGAGGCAGCAGUGGGGAAUCUUGCGCAAUGGGCGAAAGCCUGACGCAGCGACGCCGCGUGAGGGAUGACGGCC